GACGAACGCUGGCGGCGUGCUUAACACAUGCAAGUCGAACGGAAAGGCCCUGCUUGCAGGGUACUCGAGUGGCGAACGGGUGAGUAACACGUGGGUGAUCUGCCCUGCACUUCGGGAUAAGCCUGGUAAACUGGGUCUAAUACCGGAUAGGAGCCAUUUUUAGUGUGAUGGUUGGAAAGUUUUUUCGGUGUAGGAUGAGCUCGCGGCCUAUCAGCUUGUUGGGGGGGUAAUGGCCUACCAAGGCGGCGACGGGUAGCCGGCCUGAGAGGGUGGACGGCCACAUUGGGACUGAGAUACGGCCCAGACACCGACGGGAGGCAGCAGUGGGGAAUAUUGCACGAUGGGCGCAAGCCUGAUGCAGCGACGCCGCGUGGGGGAUGACGGCCUUCGGGUUGUAAACUCCUUUCGCUAGGGACGAAGCUUUUUGUGACGGUACCUAGAUAAGAAGCACCGGCUAACUACGUG
rnacentral:rRNA from 1 species